CCACUGGACCAGGUUACUCAAAGCUCCAUCCACCCUGGCUCUGAACACUUCCAGUGAUGGGGCAUGGUCACUCACUUUUGUGAGCUGCAGCAUUAGUGAUGGAACCAGAUCUCUGCCCAAGGGUUACAUGCUUUAAAAUCCUUCAUUAGAGAAAUACCCUGAAGCUUAAAAUGCUACAAGAAAAGUAACAGAGUUCCUUUACAUAGAAAUUGCCCAAUGAGAUUGACCCUUCCCCAGCAGUCUGGCAUUGGUGUUUGGUUGGAAGGUUUCCAAUUAGCAAAGGCAGCUCAGAAAGACCAGCAUCCUGGAGGCCACAGCAGCAGGACAAAGAGCAGCCAAGGUCACCAAGCACCUUCCUUUCAGCUCUUGCAGGAAUGUGAUUGUGUAAAUACAUGCGCACGAUUUUAGUAAAGCCAGAAAACCUCCCAAAUCCUUUGCAGUCUGUGGCCACUGCACCCUGAGCAAAAUUCCCUCCCAGCUCCGAGCCUGGGAACCCAUUCAACUCUGUGCUUAUGUGCCUCAUUGCACACAUCACCUGCGAUACUGGUAUUACCAGUCUCUUUCCUACCACUUCUUUUCCCUAAUAAUGAAUACUUGAGUCAGUAAAAUCCAUCUGUAGUUAGCAUAGGCAUUUACAGGAGCAUGGAUUUAUCCUUGCAAAAGUGGUGUACUUAAAGUGAGCAGCUCAGUCAUUCCUGAUAGGGUCUUGUAAAUAAAUUAUUGAUUCCUGGGUGUUUAGGGGAUGUUGAUUAGAAUUAGAGUUUACAGCAACAGCUCAUCUUACUUCAUCAGAAGAAAUUGUAAAAAAAAAUAUCAAGGAAAUCAGCUGCUUAAUAAAAAGUAAUCUUUCUUA